rnacentral:lncRNA from 1 species
GUAACACCCAAACACCACGGUUAGCCAAACAGCUCUUCAGACAUCACGCAAGUUUGGUAGCCCUGGGAGGGUCCCAUGGAGCCCUGUGCCACCAACAUGCCAGGGAUUCUGUAAAGCUCUUAGCUGUGCCAAAUUUUGUACAAACAGAGGAAUCAGUUCCCUUUCCAAAGACCUGCCAUACAGCUUAAAGAUGGCGGUGAACUGCAAGCAUGGCAAGAACUUUGUAGUGCUUAUUUGGAAGAAGCCAGUGGAUAGCCAGCUGCUUUGCAUUAUUCAGGUGGAAGAAGGAACAAAGUCAUUUUGGUCUGGAAUACAGUGGGAGCUGCAGGAGCAGGGACAGCACACUGCUUCAGCCUCAGUCAUGACGUCCCUGAGAGGUAAUACUUGUGAGAAGCAGGAAGGUGUGAGGGAAUCAUACGCCCACACCAGACAAACUCACCUCCCUGUCAUCAUGUGCUCACUGGCCACGACUGGAAUGAGCACGUCACGUGCAGGAGAAAUCAAGGGGAAUACAUCAUCUAGUGCACACAGUGAGGAGAAACCAGAACAAACCUCCCCUCUUGCCUCUCCUACAUCAUCUUGGACUUACAAAAGAGGCUCACUUCUCCCUGGCUGGGGCUGCCAGCACUUUGCUUCAAGGUAG